rnacentral:rRNA from 1 species
GACGAACGCUGGCGGCGUGCCUAAUACAUGCAAGUAGAACGCUGAAGAGAGGAGCUUGCUCUUCUUGGAUGAGUUGCGAACGGGUGAGUAACGCGUAGGUAACCUGCCUUGUAGCGGGGGAUAACUAUUGGAAACGAUAGCUAAUACCGCAUAACAAUGGAUGACCCAUGUCGUUUAUUUGAAAGGGGCAAAUGCUCCACUACAAGAUGGACCUGCGUUGUAUUAGCUAGUAGGUGAGGUAACGGCUCACCUAGGCGACGAUACAUAGCCGACCUGAGAGGGUGAUCGGCCACACUGGGACUGAGACACGGCCCAGACUCCUACGGGAGGCAGCAGUAGGGAAUCUUCGGCAAUGGGGGCAACCCUGACCGAGCAACGCCGCGUGAGUGAAGAAGGGUUUCGGAUCGGAAAGCUCUGUUGUAAGUCAAGAACGAGUGUGAGAGUGGAAAGUUCACACUGUGACGGUAGCUUACCAGAAAGGGACGGCUAACUACGUG